rnacentral:rRNA from 1 species
UGGGGAAUAUUGCACAAUGGGCGCAAGCCUGAUGCAGCCAUGCCGCGUGUGUGAAGAAGGCCUUCGGGUUGUAAAGCACUUUCAGCGAGGAGGAAGGUGGUGAGCUUAAUACGCUCAUCAAUUGACGUUACUCGCAGAAGAAGCACCGGCUAACUCCGUGCCAGCAGCCGCGGUAAUACGGAGGGUGCAAGCGUUAAUCGGAAUUACUGGGCGUAAAGCGCACGCAGGCGGUUUGUUAAGUCAGAUGUGAAAUCCCCGGGCUCAACCUGGGAACUGCAUUUGAAACUGGCAAGCUAGAGUCUCGUAGAGGGGGGUAGAAUUCCAGGUGUAGCGGUGAAAUGCGUAGAGAUCUGGAGGAAUACCGGUGGCGAAGGCGGCCCCCUGGACGAAGACUGACGCUCAGGUGCGAAAGCGUGGGGCAGCAAGCAGGAUUAGAUACCCUGGUAGUCCACGCUGUAAACGAUGUCGAUUUGGAGGUUGUGCCCUUGAGGCGUGGCUUCCGGAGCUAACG